rnacentral:rRNA from 1 species
UACAGAGGGGGCGAGCGUUGUUCGGAAUUACUGGGCGUAAAGGGCGCGUAGGCGGCCCGCUAAGUCGAACGUGAAAUCCCCAGGCUCAACCUGGGAACUGCGUCCGAUACUGGCAGGCUUGAAUCCGGGAGAGGGAUGUGGAAUUCCAGGUGUAGCGGUGAAAUGCGUAGAUAUCUGGAGGAACACCGGUGGCGAAGGCGGGUCUCUGGGCCGAUACUGACGCUGAGGAGCGAAAGCGUGGGGAGCGAACAGG